ACAGGGACCCUUCCUCCUGUGGCCCCACUAUUUCUCUGCAUUCUAGGAUCUAAGAGUGCAUGUAGAACUUUGUUGAUUGAUUUGUUGGAGGAUUCUUUUAUGUCUAUAAGUUCAACAUGUUUUGCUAAGAAGAAAAUACAAAUACAGACAGUUAUAUACUCGUUGGCGGACACUUUAGUUUGCAUUUACAUAUGAGAUGGGUUCUCGAGGAAGGCCACUAUUUGAUCUUAAUGAACCCCCC
rnacentral:misc_RNA from 1 species